GAUAAUAUCUAAUAGGCCUUUGUGAAAUAGGACUUUGGUUUUUCCUUAAGUAGAAACCGUGUGAGAUGCACAGUUCAAAGUGAAAUAGGAUUUUGUCUUUUCAUUAAGUAGAAAGUGGGACUCCAAGUCCCACGUGAGAUGCACAGUUCAAAAAAAAAAAAAAAAAAGAAAGAAAAAAAAAAAAAGGAACAAUCAGAAAUUUUUCCUUCUCCAGUAUUUAUUCCUCCAAACAGCGAUGUCGAUAUACUCGAGCUCCCCGUCGAUUUCGCAAUGUUUUUUUUUUUUUUUGAAAUUCCUUUUGGGUUUAUUAGCCGUUGAAUUCCAAACAAAGAUGGGUCACGAGAGCCUUUGUUUUUUUGCUGCCUUGUUCUUUUGCUCGUGUGCUUCCUUUGUCGAUCUAAAACUCAAAAUGAAGAGGAGGGGAGAGAUCAACAUCGUGGUCGUUGAAAACAAGCAUUGAUUCAUGGCUCCAAAGAGACCAAGCAUGAGUCGGUCAAGGGGAACAAAAGUUGCAUUGGCUUCUUUUCCCUUUUAUUUGUCCACAAAUGCAUCUAUUUUCUCAUUGGACCGCAAAGAAUGACUUUACAUAUAAGACUUAACUUUCUAUAUCUGCUUCCUUGGCUUGCCGUGACACCGAUUGCUCCUUUCCUUCUUGGCAUGGACUGCAAGUAUGCGUUACUUAGACUUGAUUGGAACUUCACGGGAUAGUCUAGGCCACCCCAAAGAAAUUCAUGAGAAUGACGGUAUAGAAGAGUAGUCGGGCUACCAUUUAAGAAACCCUCCGUGCACAGAAACCUUUUAUGGUGGCUUGUUGGCAAUUCUCUUGUAUAAACUGAAGAUUACAGGUUCUAGGUAGUUGAUUAUGCCCCAUUUUUUUCACUUUUGUCUGCAACAAAAUAUUAAACAAGAGAGAUAAAUAAAUUAACAAAACUUGUUUCA